UACAGAGGUCCCAAGCGUUGUUCGGAUUCACUGGGCGUAAAGGGUGCGUAGGCGGUCGGGUAAGUCUGAUGUGAAAUCUCACAGCUUAACUGUGAAACUGCAUUGGAUACUAUCCGGCUAGAGGAAUGGAGGGGAGACUGGAAUACUUGGGUGUAGCAGUGAAAUGCGUAGAUAUCAAGUGGAACACCAGUGGCGAAGGCGAGUCUCUGGACAUUUCCUGACGCUGAGGCACGAAAGCCAGGGGGAGCAAACGGG
rnacentral:rRNA from 1 species